UACAGAGGUCCCAAGCGUUGUUCGGAUUCACUGGGCGUAAAGGGUGCGUAGGUGGUUGUGUAAGUCUGAUGUGAAAUCUCCGGGCUCAACCCGGAAAUGGCAUUGGAUACUACAUAGCUUGAGGUUUGGAGGGGGGACUGGAAUUCUCGGUGUAGCAGUGAAAUGCGUAGAUAUCGAGAGGAACACCAGUGGCGAAGGCGAGUCCCUGGACAACACCUGACACUGAGGCACGAAAGCUAGGGGAGCAAACAGG
rnacentral:rRNA from 1 species